rnacentral:rRNA from 1 species
GAUGAACGCUGGCGGCGUGCCUAAUACAUGCAAGUCGAGCGAACAGACGAGGAGCUUGCUCCUCUGACGUUAGCGGCGGACGGGUGAGUAACACGUGGAUAACCUACUUAUAAGACUGGGAUAACUUCGGGAAACCGGAGCUACUACCGGCUAAUAUAUUGAACCGCAUGGAUCAAUAGUGAAAGACGGCUUUGCUGUCACUUAUAGAUGGAUCCGCGCCGCAUUAGCUAGUUGGUAAGGUAACGGCUUACCAAGGCGACGAUGCGUAGCCGACCUGAGAGGGUGAUCAGCCACACUGGAACUGAGACACGGUCCAGACUCCUACGGGAGGCAGCAGUAGGGAAUCUUCCGCAAUGGGCGAAAGCCUGACGGAGCAACGCCGCGUGAGUGAUGAAGGUCUUCGGAUCGUAAAACUCUGUUAUUAGGGAAGAACAAAUGUGUAAGUAACUAUGGCCGUCUUGACGGUACCUAAUCAGAAAGCAACGGCUAACUACGUG